AACUAUUAAAGCUACUCUAUUAAAGUGAGUUUUUCCUAAAGGAACCCACUUGGAUGAGAUUAACUCAGAAACUUUAAGAAAUGAGCUACUCCACAGAAUUCCCAAUAGCUCAAGAUGAUGAUCAUGAUGCUAACCUCAAACCCAAAAUUCUGCACCUGACCCUGAACUUCAAACGCGUCUGCAGGAUUCAUUACAGCUCCAUAAUUCAUACUAUUGGCGUCGGAACGACCGGAAUUUCGUUAGCUAACCAUAGAGACAAACCACACUAAAUUCGGAGUUAUAGAGAAAGAGCAGUUACCAUUUUAGUGAGCCCCUGUCCAGAAUACGGGUUUCACAUACUUCUUCCAAUUCCCAAUUUCUAUUGUACCACAAAAUCACUUAUGAGUUUGAAAACCCAUAUAGGGAAAUCAAUGGCAGAACUGGAUCUUUGUAGAAAUCAUAAAACAAAACCAUAAAAAUCAAUAAUAUUAACCAAAGAUCAGAAAUAGAAGGUUUAAAAACAGAAAUUGAGAAAAUCUAAAUAGAAAUCAUAAAACAUAACCACCAAAAUCAAUAAUAUUAACCAAAGAUCAUAAAUAGAAGGUUUGAUUUCGUUGUACUACUAAACGUGGAAAUUCUUUUUCCUUUACCACAAACAUUGCAAUUUGAGUAGCAGAGCCCAAUGCAACAACUAAGGAAAUGUCCUGCAGCCAUGAAAGUACAUCAGUCUCAUUCUCAUAACCAAUUUAAUCAAACAAAAUCAGAACUAAAUGNNNNNCUCAAAAUGUAGUUUUUGCGAGGAUUAUGCCGGGCAAUGACACACAGUAAUUUGUCAAACUCAUGGUAAAUUCAGAUAUAAUGAAUUCAUCACUCCAACCUAAAUAUCAGAAAGAAAAACACACUCCAAUAACAAUAACCUUUUUUACUGCCAAUCUUUGUGAAUCUCUUCGAGUAACCUCUGCUAAUCUCUGCUUUCUACACAAAAU
rnacentral:lncRNA from 1 species